ACGGGUGAGUAACACGUAUCCAACCUGCCGUCUACUCUUGGACAGCCUUCUGAAAGGAAGAUUAAUACAAGAUGGCAUCAUGAUUCCACAUGUUCACAUGAUUAAAGGUAUUCCGGUAGACGAUGGGGAUGCGUUCCAUUAGAUAGUAGGCGGGGUAACGGCCCACCUAGUCAACGAUGGAUAGGGGUUCUGAGAGGAAGGUCCCCCACAUUGGAACUGAGACACGGUCCAA
rnacentral:rRNA from 1 species